rnacentral:rRNA from 1 species
UACGUAGGGUGCGAGCGUUAAUCGGAAUUACUGGGCGUAAAGCGUGCGCAGGCGGUUUUGUAAGCCAGAUGUGAAAUCCCCGGGCUUAACCUGGGAAUGGCAUUUGGGACUGCAAGGCUGGAGUACGGCAGAGGAGACUGGGAUUCCUGGUGUAGCAGUGAAAUGCGUAGAGAUCAGGAGGAAUACCGAUGGCGAAGGCAGGUCUCUGGGCUGAUACUGACGCUCAUGCACGAAAGCGUGGGGAGCAAACAGG